UACGUAGGGCGCAAGCGUUGUCCGGAAUUAUUGGGCGUAAAGAGCUCGUAGGCGGUUUGUCGCGUCUGCUGUGAAAUCCCGAGGCUCAACCUCGGGCUUGCAGUGGGUACGGGCAGACUAGAGUGCGGUAGGGGAGACUGGAAUUCCUGGUGUAGCGGUGAAAUGCGCAGAUAUCAGGAAGAACACCUAUGGCGAAGGCAGCUCUCUGGGACGGUACUGACGCUGAGACGGCGAAAGCCGUGGGGAGCGAACAGG
rnacentral:rRNA from 1 species